rnacentral:tRNA from 1 species
AUGUGCGUGUGGGGCUCGAUGACCCCGGGAAACACGUAUUUUCCCGAGGCAUCGAUGGCCUCGCGCGCGGCCGGUUCGAAGCCCGGCGCGUAGAUG